AUAUGAAUAUAGAUUGAAUCUACAAGGUAAAUAUGAGAAAGUACUAAAUCUACAUAUAUAAAAAUCCUGUAGCAGCAGGAGGAGAAAAAUCUGAAUAAAGCAAUUCAUUUUAUCCUUAUUGCAUUGCUAUGAAACACAAGUUAAAAUAACAACUGUUCCUUCCAUCCUUUAUGUUUAGAAAUUUACCAUGUCUAAUGGAAUCACCUGCUCUUCCUGAGUGGUCCUCAAGAUGGCGUGUCAGCCUCAUGGCCUUGGGACAUGCAAAUAUCAUCCAGCCAUCAUUGUGUAAGCACCUGUGCUGAAACUGGACCUGAGAAGGCCCUAUGAACAGAAGUGACUUUAAAAAAGAUGAGUGAGAGAAAGGGUUCUGAAGGAAGACGCAAGAGAAAAAGAAUGGCACAUUUUGAUGGGAGAGAUGUGAGAAAACAUCAUGGCGGUGGUAUUAUGGAAGUCAGGUCUUGAACAAUGGUGAUAACCUGAGACUAAACAAACAUUUAUUAUUCAGGUAUAUGCGAAGAAUAGUCUCUGUUUUUACAACACUGAUGCAAUUUUAUUUCCUUUCAUCUCUUCGGUGAUACCCUGCAGCUCAUUCCAUUAAUUCUUACCUAGAGAAUCUGGCAUACUUUCUUUCUCCCUGUCUUAGUAUUUAUCUUUCUAAGAACUCCCACGUACCACAUGGGAAUGUAAAUUGAUGUGAAUGUCUUACAAAGCAAUUUGGUAUUAAUGGAUCCAGAGCCUUAAAAAUGUUCAUACCAGGUUAUUAUGAGCCAGCAAUUCCACUCCCAGAAAUCUAUCCAAACGAAAUAACAUGAGACAUAGGGGGAAAUAAAUAUGUCUAACUAUAUUUGCAAGAAUAUGUUUAUCACACCAUAGCUUCUCACUUUGUUGAUAUGAUAAAAAACUAAAUUUAUAAUAAAAGAAAUGAUUAAAUGAUAACACAUCCAGCUGAUGGACUGUUAGGUAGCCAUUAAAAUGGUGCUUAUGGAGAACUGGUAACAUAAAAAAUACAUAU
rnacentral:lncRNA from 1 species